rnacentral:rRNA from 1 species
UACGCAGGGGGCAAGCGUUAUCCGGAUUUACUGGGUGUAAAGGGGGCGCAGACGGCGAUGCAAGCCAGGAGUGAAAGCCCGGGGCCCAACCCCGGGACUGCUCUUGGAACUGCGUGGCUGGAGUGCAGGAGGGGCAGGCGGAAUUCCUGGUGUAGCGGUGAAAUGCGUAGAUAUCAGGAGGAACACCGGUGGCGAAGGCGGCCUGCUGGACUGCAACUGACGUUGAGGCCCGAAAGCGUGGGGAGCAAACAGG